rnacentral:tRNA from 1 species
GGGGGCGUAGCUCAACUGGGAGAGCACCUGCUUUGCACGCAGGGGGUAACGAGUUCGACCCUCGUCGCCUCCA